rnacentral:lncRNA from 1 species
CCUGGAUCAACAGCUGAAGCCAUGCUGAGCUCAGAAUUUAUUCUUAUUUUUGGGGAGCCCUCCGUCCUCUGUCCCACUCAGCUACCUAGUUCUGAGGCUGACCAGCUGCUCAGGGGCUCUGGGCCAUGGCACACCGGUGUCUGGGCGUGGUCAUCCAGGGGUGAGCCAGGCUGAGCAGCCAGGCCCAGUGAGAGGAGGAUGUGGGCAGCAGAGUGUCCCCACGGCCCCGCGAGGUGUUUCCUUGCCCAGUCGUGUGUGAUCUGGGCUGACAGGAUGGGGCGUUGGACACAGGGUGUGCAGACGGGAGCCCUGCAUGUACUGUGAGCCGCACUGACCUCGCAGGGCCAGGAGGGCAGUGGGGACAGCGCCAGAUUCCCGCCCUUAGGUGGAGUCUCCCGAGGGGUCGGUGGGGUGCCUCCCACCUCCGAGAUGGAGUCAAGUGCCUGGAGGGAAAGGGGCUGGGGUCAGGGGCUCUGCAGGGUCAGAGGUCGGGAAGACUGGCCGCUGUCACCGUCAGCGCCUCAGACAGGAGAGGACAGCGCCAGUUCCUCCCUGGUCAGCUUUCAGCGGGACUACGGAGGGCUCGGCAUCUGGGAACCAGGUUGACUGCCUAUUCCAGGGCAAGGGUCCUCCUUCGGGGGGAGGGGUGGUUGUGUAAAACAGGUCUCGGUGGUUACAAGACCAGAACAUUUGCUUCACUGUUACCUCCGCAGGGAGUCCCACAUGACCAGGCUUCUCUGAGGAGCAUGCUGCACACCUGGGUGGAUCAUGUCUGUGAUAAGAUGGGAAAUGAACCAGAAGAAGCACAGAUGGAGGCAGCCCUAGCAGAGAUGGAGGAGGAACUCAGCAAGGAUGUCUGUGAAUUCAUGGAAGAUCACAUUCAAGAGAACCUUCCCGAAUCCCUGCAGGAGUCCAGUCCCUUGCUUCAGGAAGCGCAGCAAGAAGUACGCCGCAGAAUCCAGAGACCCUCAGUCUCUGCCUGUCUGGAGGACCAGAAACCGGAAGAGAGCAUCUGGGCCAGAGCCCUGCGGCGGUUCCGAGGUUUUCUGCGGAGUCUCUGGCAGCGGUGUUGCGAUGUGCUGACCUGGCUGCAGGAGAAGGCGGCGGCCUGCCUUGAGGCCGUCUGCAGUGCGGUGAAGACCAUCUGGGGAGUGCUGACGGAUUUCUGCUCCUCUGUGGGGCAACUCUUCAGAAACCUCAUCCAGGUCUAGGAGCCCCAGGUCAUUCUUGAGGAACUGCUCCUCAUCUAGAAGGCCCUGCACAAUCCCCUUCCCAGAAACCAUCUUCUGAAGCGACCUUUACCCUCCUGUUCACCCUUCACCAAUCCUUUAACUGCCCUCACCUCCUGUCUGCAGGGACGACACCACAACAUCAGGCCAGGUUUCCCUUCUCCAAGUCUGACCCGUCUGUCAGGGACCGGGAUGUUCUGCUGACCCAGGGAUGUGGGAGAGGCUUGGAAGCCUGGAGGCCCCAAGGACCAAGGUGCCUUCCGUGGCUCAGCAUGCCUUGGUGUCUCUGCCUGUCUCUCCGGACCCUGU